AUAAAUAUUUAACGGCCGCGGUACUCUGACCGUGCAAAGGUAGCAUAAUCAUUUGCCUUAUAANNGAAGGCUAGCAUGAAUGGUUUGAUGAGAACAAAGCUGUCUCCUUUUAAUUUNAUAAAACUUGAUUUUUGGGUGAAGAAGCCCAAAUAAAAUUGAUAGACGAGAAGACCCUAUCGAGCUUAAAAAAAUUUUNUUAAA
rnacentral:rRNA from 1 species